rnacentral:rRNA from 1 species
GUGUAAUCCCAUCAUUAAUGAAAACAAUGAUUCACUUUUACUUCUGUAUGUCUCCCUCUCUCUCGUUUCUUUUCAAUACGUUAUCGGCACGCUCUCGGCAGAGCGACUACCGGCCUCACGGGGCGACACGGAACGGCGGAAGACCGAGGCCAGCGACGUCUCGAAGAGCAGCAGCGACGCUCCCCGGCAGACGACGCGCCCUCGUCUUGCAUCUGGCGCAGAUCGGCAGGCCUCGGCCAGUCCUCGACAGCGAUGCCCUUGGUCCCGUCGCUACUCCCGGCGAGGCCCUUCCCACGCGCGGGGCCCGCGUUACUCAGCGGCGGCCACGGCCAUGACCAAUCCCGGUGCGGCGCGCAGCCCCGCAUCGGCGGCAGUGCCUGCGACCGGCCCUCCACCCCGACUCCAUGCCACGACGCCCCCCAGCAACUCCAGCGAUUUUCAACUCGAACGAACUCCAAGGGAGGAAAAUCCUGAGGGGAAGAAGAACUGAAUCGGAGUCAAGCACCACCCAUCAGCGUCUUCGUCUAAUAAACAAGGUGCUACUUUACUAAUUUCGUUCCUGGUUAUAAAAUAAUUGCUUUCCCAUGAACAGGAAGCCAUGAAGCAAGUCUUACCCCAGCGAGGCCCAUGCCUGGUGCUCGAGUCCACUGCCAACGGCAGCGCUCGGCGUCGCCUUGGCGCACAACGUCGGAGGCGGCUCCUUGCGGGGCAGCGCCCUCCGGCGCACGGCUCCCAGCCCGGUGAUGCUUCUCGUCCCUCCAACGCUAGGCACGGCGACGCUCCCAUCGGCGCGGCUCCAAUCGACGGAACCUGCGCAUGGCGGUGCCCGCGACCACGGCUUAUGGCACACGCCGCUGCACCCUCGAUCUGUAGAGAGGCGCGGAGCAGUGGACCAUGGCGCGGCUGUAGGGCUUCAACUCCCCAACGAGCGGCGCCCUCCGGCGUUGCUGCUCGGGGCCACGGCCCCUCCCGUGAAGGAGAUGGGACGGCCAGACAGCGAUGCCCUCAGGCGCGCGCGACGUGGCCUGGCCCUCCAGCGCGGUACCCUCUGCGGCGUCGACAGAGCGGUUCCGUAUAUACAGGCGAUGCGGCGCUGCUAGCGCAUGGCACGGCGGUGCACAGUGCGACCGUCUCCCGGCGGUGGCGGUUAUCAGGGACUGCACGAGAAAAAAAAAGAGAACCUUAUCUCUUCGGCAGUUUUCACUUCAGACAUUGUGGUUUCCUAUAAUCACAAAUGACUGCCUACAAUUCUCUCACGCAUGAUAGCCUAUUUUUCUGUUGAGUUUUAACAUUCCAGAAAAUAUAUGGUUAUUGUAUGUGGCAUGUUCAAUGUGUUUGCUUUUAGCAAUUCCUAUAACAUGUUCCAUUAGUACAAUGACAUUGUUUUGUGAUUGAGAUUAAGUUUUCUCGCACAACAUUUGUUAUUGAGAAAUUUUCUUUUUCUCGCAAAAUAAUCUCAUUGCGGUUGAGAUCAGUUUUCUCUCGCAAAAUA